GACGAACGCUGGCGGCGUGCUUAACACAUGCAAGUCGAACGGAAAGGCCCUGCUUUUGUGGGGUGCUCGAGUGGCGAACGGGUGAGUAACACGUGAGUAACCUGCCCUUGACUUUGGGAUAACUUCAGGAAACUGGGGCUACUACCGGAUAGGAGCUCCUGCUGCAUGGGGGUGGUUGGAAAGUUUCGGCGGAUGGGGAUGGACGCGCGGCUUAUCAGCUUGUUGGUGGGGUAGUGGCUUACCAAGGCUUUGGCGGGUAGCCGGCCUGGGAGGGUGACCGGCCACAUGGGGACUGAGAUACGGCCCAGACUCCUACGGGAGGCAGCAGUGGGGAAUAUUGCACAAUGGGCGGAAGCCUGAUGCAGCAACGCCGCGUGCGGGAUGACGGCCUUCGGGUUGUAAACCGCUUUCGCCUGUGACGAAGCGUGAGUGACGGUAAUGGGUAAAGAAGCACCGGCUAACUACGUG
rnacentral:rRNA from 1 species